rnacentral:lncRNA from 1 species
AUUGAAUUAAACGGUGCAAUGGAUGGGUGAAUAGGAGAGGAACUCAACCUGUCUCUGAAAACAAUUUUCUGCGCGCCUUGGUGCCGGCACCUCCACUGCUCAGAUAUCAUCGAUAACAGAUUUACUAAUUUAGGAUAUUGAUAUUUCUGAAAACUCAGCUAUCUCAAGCGGCUACUGCCCGUUCCAAAGAGGAGCUAUUGCCCAAAGAUCACAGACCUGGAUGAACACCUUCUUCACCCUUCCAUUUCUGCUGCGUCCAGAAAAUACAUAUCCAGGCCACCACGUUUUCAGGACAGUACAAGUUUGCUGCAGGACAGCAUGGCUGCAGUCACAUAUGUGGGAACCUCCUCCGUUCCCACUGGAGGCCUCCGCUUUGGGUCAAGUGGUAACACUGGAAUCAGCAGUCAUGAAGCAGAGGUUAAAAUGGGCAAUGUGCCGUAAAACUGCCGUGAGAGGGCAGCUGGGAAUUUGGAGGGAAAUAAGACUGCUCUUGGAAGCUACCUCCAUACCAUUUGUGCGGAGUAUUUUCUAA